UCUUUUCUGUAAAGGGGCACAGAGAAAAGGCAUUGGUGCUGGAAGGGAUUUGCAUGUUCAAGAAAGAGUUUUAUUUAAAGUGAGAGAAAUUACAGCAUGUUUGACUGUAUGAUAAUAAGAAUGGUCUAGCCUGGCAUGGUGGCUAACACCUGUAAUCCCAGCACUUUGGGAGGCUGAGGCAGGCAGAUCAUGAGGUCAGGAGUUGACCAACAUGGUGAAACCCCGUCUCUACUAAAAAUACAAAAAUUAGCCAGGCAUGGUGGCACACGCCUAUAAUCCCAGAUAGGAGGCUGAGGCAGGAGAAUCACUUGAACCUGGGAGGCAGAGGUUGCAGUGAGCCGAGAUCACACCACUGUACUCCAGCCUGGGCAACAGAGUGAGACCCCGUCUCAACAAAAAAAAACAACAACAAAAACAACAACAACAACAACAACAACAAAAAGAAUGGUCUAGAAGAAAGAAGACUGGAAUGAUGAAGCAGAAGAGAAGGGAGGCUUACAUAACAUCUUGCGGUAAUGAAAGGGGAUGGAAUCUGGUAUAGGAUCCAGAUCCGGGACUUGAGCAUAGCAGAUUUUGGCAUCUGCGGGUUGUCCUGAAACCAGUGCCCCACAGAUAUGGAGAGCUGACUGCAUUCCAAGUGAAGUUCAUGAGGAUUCCUAGAGCAGAAAAGAAGACAGCAAGCUUAGAGGGUGAGUUCCUCAAAUUUUGGAAUAGUGUAUUACAUUUUUCAUCUUAUCUCCGGCCCCAGAAAAAUGAUUGGUUAGGGAAGACCUCCCUCAUAGUGAAAUUCCUUCAUUAAAAUUAUCUCAAGUCAA
rnacentral:lncRNA from 1 species